rnacentral:rRNA from 1 species
CUGGCUCAGGAUGAACGCUAGCUACAGGCUUAACACAUGCAAGUCGAGGGGCAGCAUGAUUCUAGCUUGCUAGAAUUGAUGGCGACCGGCGCACGGGUGAGUAACGCGUAUCCAACCUUCCCUAUAGUAGAGGAUAGCCCGGCGAAAGUCGGAUUAAUACUCUAUGUUGUUCAAUGCGGACAUCUAAGUUGAACCAAAGGUUUACCGCUAUAGGAUGGGGAUGCGUCUGAUUAGAUGGUAGGCGGGGUAACGGCCCACCUAGUCGACGAUCAGUAGGGGUUCUGAGAGGAAGGUCCCCCACAUUGGAACUGAGACACGGUCCAAACUCCUACGGGAGGCAGCAGUGAGGAAUAUUGGUCAAUGGGCGAGAGCCUGAACCAGCCAAGUAGCGUGCAGGAUGACGGCCCUAUGGGUUGUAAACUGCUUUUAUAUAGGGAUAAAGUGCACCACGUGUGGUGUUUUGUAGGUACUAUAUGAAUAAGGACCGGCUAAUUCCGUGCCAGCCGCUGC